CAGUAGCCACGGGAAUACGAGGGGGGCAAGCGUUGUUCGGAAUUAUUGGGCGUAAAGGGUGCGUAGGCGGCUUGACAAGUCUUGUGUGAAAUCUAUGGGCUCAACCCAUAGUCUGCACGGGAAACUGUCGGGCUUGAGAAUGGGAGAGGUGAGUGGAAUUUCCGGUGUAGCGGUGAAAUGCGUAGAUAUCGGAAGGAACACCUGUGGCGAAAGCGGCUCACUGGACCAUUUCUGACGCUGAUGCACGAAAGCUAGGGGAGCAAACAGGAUUAGAUACCCGCGUAGUCCCUGUCUCUUAUAC
rnacentral:rRNA from 1 species